GACGAACGCUGGCGGCGUGCCUAACACAUGCAAGUCGAGCGAAUGAAGUUCCUUCGGGAACGGAUUUAGCGGCGGACGGGUGAGUAACACGUGGGCAACCUGCCUCAUAGAGGGGAAUAGCCUUCCGAAAGGGAGAUUAAUACCGCAUAAGAUUGUAGUACCGCAUGGUACAGCAAUUAAAGGAGCAAUCCGCUAUGAGAUGGGCCCGCGGCGCAUUAGCUAGUUGGUGAGGUAACGGCUCACCAAGGCGACGAUGCGUAGCCGACCUGAGAGGGUGAUCGGCCACAUUGGGACUGAGACACGGCCCAGACUCCUACGGGAGGCAGCAGUGGGGAAUAUUGCACAAUGGGGGAAACCCUGAUGCAGCAACGCCGCGUGAGUGAUGAAUGCCUUCGGGUUGUAAACUGCUUUUAUGUGCGAAGAAUUUGACUGUAACACAUGAAUAAGGAUCGGCUAACUACGUGCCAGCCGCCGCAGUAAUAC
rnacentral:rRNA from 1 species